rnacentral:rRNA from 1 species
UGGGGAAUAUUGCACAAUGGGCGCAAGCCUGAUGCAGCCAUGCCGCGUGUGUGAAGAAGGCCUUCGGGUUGUAAAGCACUUUCAGCGAGGAGGAAGGUGGUGAGCUUAAUACGCUCAUCAAUUGACGUUACUCGCAGAAGAAGCACCGGCUAACUCCGUGCCAGCAGCCGCGGUAAUACGGAGGGUGCAAGCGUUAAUCGGAAUUACUGGGCGUAAAGCGCACGCAGGCGGUUUGUUAAGUCAGAUGUGAAAUCCCCGGGCUCAACCUGGGAACUGCAUUUGAAACUGGCAAGCUAGAGUCUCGUAGAGGGGGGUAGAAUUCCAGGUGUAGCGGUGAAAUGCGUAGAGAUCUGGAGGAAUACCGGUGGCGAAGGCGGCCCCCCUGGACGAAGACUGACGCUCAGGUGCGAAAGCGUGGGGCAGCAAACAGGAUUAGAUACCCUGGUAGUCCAGCGCUGUAAAACGAUGUCGAUUUGGAGGUUGUGCCCUUGAGGCGUGGCUUCCGGAGCUAACGCGUUAAAUCGACCGCCUGGGGGAGUACGGCCGCAAGGUUAAAACUUAAAGGAAUUGAC